rnacentral:rRNA from 1 species
CCUACGGGUGGCAGCAGUGAGGAAUAUUGGUCAAUGGGAGGAAUCCUGAACCAGCCAUGCCGCGUGCAGGAAGACGGCUCUACGAGUUGUAAACUGCUUUUGUACCAGGGUAAAAUGCUCUACGACUAGGGUUUUGAAAGUACGGUACGACUUAGGCUCCGCUAGCUCUGUUCCAGCAGACGCGCUAAUACGGAGGAUUCGAGCGUUAUCCUGAUUCAUUGGGUUUAAAGGGCGCGUAGGUGGUAUUAUAAGUUAGCGGUGAAAUACCGAGGCUCAACAUCGGGGCUGCCGCUGAUACUGUAGGACUAGAGAUUGGAUGCAGCAGGCGGAAUGUGUAGUGUAGCGGUGAAAUGCAUAGAUAUUACACAGAACACCGAUUGCGAAGGCAGCUUGCUAGGCCGGAUCUGACACUGAUGCACGAAAGCGUGGGGAUCGAACAGGAUUAGAUACCCGAGUAGUC